UACGUAGGGGCUAGCGUUGUCCGGAAUCAUUGGGCGUAAAGCGCGUGUAGGCGGUCCGGUAAGUCCGCUGUGAAAGUCCAGGGCUCAACCCUGGAAUGCCGGUGGAAACUGUCGGGCUAGAGUCCGGAAGAGGCGAGUGGAAUUCCUGGUGUAGCGGUGAAAUGCGCAGAUAUCAGGAGGAACACCAAUGGCGAAGGCAGCUCGCUGGGACGGUACUGACGCUGAGACGCGAAAGCGUGGGGGAGCAAACAGG
rnacentral:rRNA from 1 species